GAUGAAGAACGCAGCGAAAUGCGAUAAGUAAUGUGAAUUGCAGAAUUCAGUGAAUCAUCGAAUCUUUGAACGCACAUUGCGCCCGCCAGUAUUCUGGCGGGCAUGCCUGUUCGAGCGUCAUUUCAACCAUCAAGCCCCCGGCUUGUGUUGGGGACCUGCGGCUGCCGCAGGCCCUGAAAACCAGUGGCGGGCUCGCUGUCACACCGAGCGUAGUAGAUUUUCAUCUCGCUCAGGGCGUGCUGCGGGUUCCGGCCGUAAAAAGCCUUAUUUACCCAAGGUUGACCUCGGAUCAGGUAGGAAGACCCGCUGAACUUAAGCAUAUCAAUAAGCGAAGGA
rnacentral:misc_RNA from 1 species